rnacentral:rRNA from 1 species
AUGAACAUGCUGAUGGGUGAAGAUCCGCCAAAUAAUGUGAAGCUGCGACAGGCCGGCAGCGGGUUUCGCAGGCAGUGGGAUGUGGAGUUGGUGAUCAAGAAGGGCCACAUGUACUUGUCUCGUGGGUGGGAGAAGUUCUACCGUGCCUACGACCUGCGGCUGGGGUACUUCCUUCUCUUCAGGUACGACGACGACGCCACCAUGCUCAUUGUGAAGGUGUUCAACACGACUAUGUGUUGCAUGCGCUACGCUGCCGAUGAUGAUGCAGGUACGUUCUGCCUCUUCUUAUUCCUCUACAUUUGGCUUUGUCUCACAUCGAUUGUUAACGGUCAUUUUUGCAUUUUGGACAGGUAA